rnacentral:rRNA from 1 species
UGGCCACGUAUUGCUUAGUAACAGAGGCUUGAUCAAGACCAGACUGAACGCUAAGUGGGAUGCUUUGGCUACUGAUGAAGCUCGAAUGGCAGCACGGACUUGGGUCUGCGGCGAGUGGCGGUGAACGGGGCAGUGAGCAAUGUAUCGGAACGUGCCCAGUAGCGGGGAUAACUACGCGAGCGUAGCCAAUACCGCAUACGUUCCUUCGGGGAAAGCGGGGACUCGGCCCGCACUAUUAGGAGCGGCCGAUAUCGAUUACAGGGUAUCGGCUACCAAGGUGACGAUCCGUAGCUGGUUUGAGACGACCAGCCACAUUCGACUGGAGAUUACGGCCCAGACUACGGGAGGCAGCAGGGGGAAUUUGACAAUGGGGAAACGCCGAUCCAGCCACUCGCGUGGGCAGAUAGCGCCUCGGGUUGUAAAGCACUUUGGCAGGAAAGAAACGGCACGGGAUAAUACUCCUGUGCAACUGAUUUAGUACCUGCAGAAUAAGCACCGGCUAACUACGUGCCAGCAGCCGCGUAAUACGGUGGGUAAAGCGUUAACGGGAAUUACUGGGCGGAAGUGCGGGCAGGCGGUUCGGGAAGAAAAGAUGUGAAAUCCCAGAGCUUAACUUUGAAUCGCAUGGAACGCCGAGCUGGUGAGUAGGUUGUGAGGGAGGUGGAGACCGCAUAGCAGCGGAAAAUGCGCAGAUAGCGUGGAGGAACACCGAUGGCGAACAGCCUCCAGGAUAACACUGACGCUUCGCGGGACGAAAGCGCGGGUGAUAAACAGGAUUAGAUACCCUGAAUUAGCCGCCCUUAUAAACGAUGUCAACUCAGCUGUUGGGGCUUCGGGCCUGGCAGCGCAGCCAACGCGCAGUUGACCGCCUCAGAGUACGGUCGCAAGACUAAACUCAGCGAAUUGACGGGGACCGUACGCUGUGGAUGAUGGAUAAUUCGAUGCAACGCGUGAAAAACCUUUUACUUCACUUCGGGACAUGUCUGGAAUCCCGAAGAGAUUUGGGAGUGCUGCAAGAGAACUGAACACAGGUGCUGCAUGCGGUUGUCGUCAGCUCGUGUCGAGAUGUUGGGUUAAGUCUCCGCAACGAGCGCAACCCUUACAUUAUUGCUACGAAAGGCACUCUAAUGAGAUUCGCCGCGACAAAACCGAGGAAGGUGGGGAUGACGUCAAGUCCUUGCUGGCUCCCGGCGGGUAGGUCACACGUCAUAAUGUGGUCGGGGACAGAGGGGUCGUUAACCCGCGAGGGGGAGCUAAUCCCAGAAACCUGAUCGUAGUCCGGGAUCGCAGUCUGCAACUCGACUGCAUGAAGUUUGAAUCGCUAGUAAUCGCGGAUCAGCAUGUCGCGGUGAAUACGUUCCCGGCCUUGUACACACCGUUUUCGUCACACCAUGGGAGUGGGUUUUACCAGAAGUAGUUAGCCUAACCGUAAGGAGGGCGAUUACCACGGUAGGAUCUAUGACUGGGGUGAAGUCGUAACAAGGCAG